GAUGAACGCUGGCGGCGUGCCUAAUACAUGCAAGUCGAGCGAACGGACGAGAAGCUUGCUUCUCUGAUGUUAGCGGCGGACGGGUGAGUAACACGUGGAUAACCUACCUAUAAGACUGGGAUAACCUCGGGAAACCGGAGCUAAUACCGGAUGAUAUUUUGAACCGCAUGGUUCAAAAGUGAAAGACGGUCUUGCUGUCACUUAUAGAUGGAUCCGCGCUGCAUUAGCUAGUUGGUAAGGUAACGGCUUACCAAGGCAACGAUGCAUAGCCGACCUGAGAGGGUGAUCGGCCACACUGGAACUGAGACACGGUCCAGACUCCUACGGGAGGCAGCAGUAGGGAAUCUUCCGCAAUGGGCGAAAGCCUGACGGAGCAACGCCGCGUGAGUGAUGAAGGUCUUCGGAUCGUAAAACUCUGUUAUUAUGGAAGAACAUAUGUGUAAGUAACUGUGCACAUCUUGACGGUACCUAAUCAGAAAGCCACGGCUAACUACGUG
rnacentral:rRNA from 1 species